rnacentral:rRNA from 1 species
GCCUACGGGGGGCAGCAGUGGGGAAUAUUGCACAAUGGGGGAAACCCUGAUGCAGCGACGCCGCGUGAGUGAAGAAGUAUUUCGGUAUGUAAAGCUCUAUCAGCAGGGAAGAAAAAAGACGGUACCUGACUAAGAAGCCCCGGCUAACUACGUGCCAGCAGCCGCGGUAAUACGUAGGGGGCAAGCGUUAUCCGGAUUUACUGGGGGUAAAGGGAGCGUAGACGGCGCGACAAGUCUGAAGUGAAAGGCAGGGGCUUAGCCCC